AACGAACGCUGGCGGCAUGCCUAACACAUGCAAGUCGAACGAGACCUUCGGGUCUAGUGGUGCACGGGUGCGUAACGCGUGGGAACCUGCCUUUAGGUUCGGAAUAACUCCCCGAAAGGGGUGCUAAUACCGGAUAAUGUCUUCGGACCAAAGAUUUAUCGCCUUUGGAUGGGCCUGCGUUGGAUUAGCUAGUUGGUAGGGUAAAAGCCUACCACGGCGACGAUCCAUAGCUGGUCUGAGAGGAUGAUCAGCCACACUGGGACUGAGACACGGCCCAGACUCCUGCGGGAGGCAGCAGUGGGUAAUAUUGGACAGUGGGCGAAAGCCUGAUCCAGCAAUGCCGGGUGAGUGAUGAAGGCCUUAGGGUUGUAAAGCUCUUUUACCCGGGAUGAUAAUGACAUUACCGGGAGAAUAAGCUCCGGCUAACUCCGUG
rnacentral:rRNA from 1 species